rnacentral:rRNA from 1 species
ACGGCAGCACGGACUUCGGUCUGGUGGCGAGUGGCGAACGGGUGAGUAACAUAUCGGAACGUAUCCAAUAAUGGGGGAUAACUAAUCGAAAGGUUGGCUAAUACCGCAUACGCCCUACGGGGGAAAGCUAGGGACCUUCGGGCCUGGCGUUAAUGGAGCGGCCGAUAUCUGAUUAGCUAGUUGGUGAGGUAAAGGCUCACCAAGGCGACGAUCAGUAGCUGGUCUGAGAGGACGACCAGCCACACUGGAACUGAGACACGGCCCAGACUCCUACGGGAGGCAGCAGUGGGGAAUUUUGGACAAUGGGGGCAACCCUGAUCCAGCCAUUCCGCGUGAGUGAAGAAGGCCUUCGGGUUGUAAAGCUCUUUCAGCCGGAAAGAAAUCGUGCAGACUAAUACUCUGUAUGGAUGACGGUACCGGAAGAAGAAGCACCGGCUAACUACGUGCCAGCAGCCGCGGUAAUACGUAGGGUGCGAGCGUUAAUCGGAAUUACUGGGCGUAAAGCGUGCGCAGGCGGUUUUGUAAGACAGAUGUGAAAUCCCCGGGCUUAACCUGGGAACUGCAUUUGUGACUGCAAGGCUAGAGUACGGCAGAGGGGGGUAGAAUUCCACGUGUAGCAGUGAAAUGCGUAAAUAUGUGGAGGGAAUACCCGAUGGCGAAAGGCAGCCCCCUGGGGUCGAUCCUGACGCUCAUGCACGAAAGCGUGGGGAUCAAACAGGAUUAAAUACCCUGGUAGU